CACAGUUCAAAUACAUUCUUAUAUAUGAAUAUUUAAGGUUUAUUGCACUCAUAACUGGUUUAUUUAACAGAUAAAAGCAUUGUAUUUGCCGUAUUUAAUACUGAAGGCAGUAAACAAGCACAACUGUAGCGUACAACCGCCAUCACGCUCACAUAAACGUGUCUUAAAGAUCUUUUACUCACGUUAGAAUUCGACUUUCAGCUGUCCGGGCUGCAAUUGUUUAUUCCACAUCAGUGAAUAAACAUUAUUUGUAAUAAAACAACAAGAAUUUGGUGCACAUAAACACGCACAAGCUAAGCUUCCUUGACCGCCGCGCUACACACUGAAGUCCCGCCCUCUCUGUACUCUCAUUGGAUGAAACGUAAGUGAGUGCACAUUCAUUGGCUAAACCUGAGACACGUGCCCGCACUCUCAGUCAUUUCAUUGGAUCAAACUUGACUGUAUUAUGACGUACACAUCUCCGGAUGCUAAAAGCGUCAACUAGCGGCGUCGCGGCGAAUAUUAAUGCAUUUGUUUCUCAUAUGAAGGCACGAGAGCUCCAUAAAUAUGCAGUUGGUCUCCUGUUGGCAGAUGAGGCUGGUUCUUUUCGCCCCUAAGGGAAAAACAGUAAAGAAUGAACUUUCUAACAAGCUAGAGAAGAGUAGAUGUCCCUGAACGUGAGGGACAACAACCCCAUUCAGACUCAAACUCUGGCUCCUGUGAGAUAUGCAGAUGCUUAGAUGUUUGUGGUCAAGCAUUACAUUAUUAAUCAUGACAGUUCCUUCUGAGAUUUUCUUGGACCGCAGCUGAGGGAGAUUUCUUGAGUGUGUGUGGGUUUGGGGGCCCGUGUCUCCCUUUUAGGGCAAAGCUGAAGAAAUCUCUUUAAUAUCUGAAGGUGAGACACCACUGCAGAUGAAUCCAAACACAAACACCUGCUCGGGCGAGCUUUCCUUGAGUGAUGGCUCUCACAGCGAGAAUGAAAAGACCUGAGCUUCUUAUUUUCCCAGCAUGUGGAAAAUCUGAGCGUUUUUUUUUUUUUUAGGCUGAAGCUGGGUUGCAUGGAAUCGUGACUAAGUUAAUUCAGCGCCCAUGCAGGGGGGCUGCACGGUCUGAUCGGAUUAAUUCAGUUAUAGAAU
ensembl:lncRNA